AUUGCCAUAUCACAUCCUCUCUCUCUCUUUAACCUCUCUUCCGUCCUACGCCUCCAUUGCAGCGUUGCCGCCUCAGCUUCCGCUUCCGCUGCCACCGCCGCCGCCGCCGCCGCCAACCACCCUAUCCCAGCCGCCAUCUGCACAUCCCCAAAUCGCUCACUUGAAUCUAGCUAGCAGCUGCAGUCUCGAGUAGCCGCAUCUAUCGAUCUGAAUCUAGCGGAGGAACUAAUGCUCUGUACGUAUCCGGGCCGGGGCUCUCCAAUCCAGAGCUCAUCAGUCCCACCGAGGCUGACAAGUUGAUGAACAGCUUCCAAGUGUACUUCAAUAUGCUUGUGGAUAUGAGUUCUGUUGGCACAUUGCAAGAACCGAUGCUCAUGUUCAUGAAGAAAAGCGAGUGGAGGAGACAGAAAAACUCUAUGUGCGGCGCCGGCUCAUCCUAAUUGAUUACCUGGUAUUCUCCGGCACGCUCUGCAGCAAGGUGGCCUCCUUCUCCACCAGCGUCGAGAUGCCGGCGAUCAAACUCCCAACCAAACUCACGGCGAUCUCCGCCAUCGAGCUCUAGCUAGGCCUCUUCUCUGCAAAGGUGAAUUUGCAGCCGCGAGUGAGUUUGUGUUUUGGCAAUCAAGCUCCCCUAUGGCUGCCGUUGUGCCGUAUAUAUGCUACUGGUUCGUACUGCUAUGUCCGGCACCACAGUCCACAAAGGUUUUGUUGCCCACUUUGCCCUUGUUGGGUAUAUAAGGCUGUGUUAUUCCCUCACCUUUCCCAACUACUAAACGACGGUACGUAUUUUGCAAACAGUUCUAUAGGGAAGUUGAUUUUAAAAAAUCAUAUUAAUCUAUUUUUCAAGUUUAUUUUAGCUAAUAUUUAAUAGAUCAUACACUAAACGCCGCUUUGUUUUGCGUGUUUGGGAGUGAGGGUUUCCAACCCUCCUCGCUCCGCAACUUAGCCUAAUUCACUUUUUGUGAGGCCUGUAUAGUUUGUUUCAGAAUUUUUUUUACCGAAAAUUUGUUACGAAUUGGAGACCAAUUUUCUGUUUAGAAUGAGGCAGGAUUAUAGUUUUUGCUAACCAGCUCAAAUAUAACCCACCCUGCCUACCCAGUUCCGCCCCUUAUGUAAAUAAAUAUGACGAUAUUGCAGUAAGAUUUUGGAUGCAGUAUCAAAUAUUUAUCUGUUCGAUGUAAAUAUGUAAUGUAUACAUGUAAAUUUUCCUUUAGAUGAAAAUGUAUAAUUAUAAAUUUCUUACUAAUAAGCGGUCAGGGCAAAACGUCUGAAA